GCCACCUCCAGGUGAUCUCAGGAUUUGGACUGAUCAACACCGGAGCCUUGACAGUGGCCUGUUUCAGCUGGGACGCUGCGUCCGUGUGCUGCUCAGUCCCUUCCCACUGAACACCCUUCUUGAGCAGCUGAUACAAGGGACCUGCAGUGGAAGCAAAAUUGGGAAUGAAAUCCCGGUGGAACCCAGUAAAACCCCAAAAGGAUCUUCACGCAGCUGGGUCCUCCGGUAACGGCAACUUUGGGAUUGCCUCCACCUUUUGCUGCGCUGCGGUUCGACCCAAUUUUGUCAAGGUUGUAUUCAUCUGGUUCUGGCCCCUCCACUGCGGAGACCAUCCUGCACUCAGGCAUGAUCACCAGCGGGGAAUCCAUUUCCUGUCCUGUAGUAAACCACAACAACUGAUUAGCCCUAUCAAUAACACAGCCCUGCCUGCCUGCACUGGAAAUCAGAUCGCAACGAGGUGCCAGCUGAAGGUGUGGGAGAACAAAGGAAUCAAGUGACCUCCUGGCCCGGGAAAGGGACAAAGCCCAGAGGAGGAGGGGCUGGAGAGUUUCAGUUUGGGGCUGGCUGGGGACGUGGAGUGAA